GCCUCCAUUCAAGUGCAAUCUGAUCUUAUUCAACAAAUUAAGGAAGGAAAAUUACGAGAUCCACAUUUAAUCUACUUGAGGAAUGAAGUAGAAAAGGAAUUGAAGCCAAAAUUUCAAGUUUCAAAGGAUGGCCUAUUGAGAUUUGGGGAGAGAGUAUGUGUACCAAAUGAACCAGAUAUCAAGAAUCAAAUCCUAAAGGAAAGUCAUACUU
rnacentral:lncRNA from 1 species